rnacentral:rRNA from 1 species
AUUGAACGCUGGCGGCAGGCCUAACACAUGCAAGUCGAGCGGUAACACAGGGAGCUUGCUCCUGGGUGACGAGCGGCGGACGGGUGAGUAAUGUCUGGGAAACUGCCUGAUGGAGGGGGAUAACUACUGGAAACGGUAGCUAAUACCGCAUAACGUCGCAAGACCAAAGAGGGGGACCUUCGGGCCUCUUGCCAUCAGAUGUGCCCAGAUGGGAUUAGCUAGUAGGUGGGGUAACGGCUCACCUAGGCGACGAUCCCUAGCUGGUCUGAGAGGAUGACCAGCCACACCGGAACGGAGACACGGUCCAGACUCCUACGGGAGGCAGCAGUGGGGAAUAUUGCACAAUGGGCGCAAGCCUGAUGCAGCCAUGCCGCGUGUAUGAAGAAGGCCUUCGGGUUGUAAAGUACUUUCAGCGGGGAGGAAGGCGACAAGGUUAAUAACCUUGUCGAUUGACGUUACCCGCAGAAGAAGCACCGGCUAACUCCGUGCCAGCAGCCGCGGUAA